AGGACGAACGCUGGCGGCGUGCUUAACACAUGCAAGUCGAACGGUGAACCUCCUUCGGGAGGGGAUCAGUGGCGAACGGGUGAGUAACACGUGAGCAACCUGCCCUUAGUUCUGGGAUAACCCCGGGAAACCGGGGCUAAUACCGGAUACGAGUCCGAGCGGCAUCACACGGACUGGAAAGUUUUUCGGCUAAGGAUGGGCUCGCGGCCUAUCAGCUUGUUGGUGGGGUAAUGGCCCACCAAGGCGACGACGGGUAGCCGGCCUGAGAGGGCGACCGGCCACGACUGGGACUGAGACACGGCCCAGACUCCUACGGGAGGCAGCAGUGGGGAAUAUUGCGCAAUGGGCGAAAGCCUGACGCAGCGACGCCGCGUGGGGGGACAAGGCCUUCGGGUGUAAACCGUCUUUCAGCAGGGAAGAAGCGAAAGUGACGGUACCUGCAGAAGAAGCACCGGCUAACUACGUGCCAGCAGCCGC
rnacentral:rRNA from 1 species